rnacentral:rRNA from 1 species
UACGUAGGGUGCGAGCGUUAAUCGGAAUUACUGGGCGUAAAGCGUGCGCAGGCGGUUGGUUAAGUCUGAUGUGAAAGCCCCGGGCUCAACCUGGGAAUGGCAUUGGAAACUGGCUAGCUGGAGUGUGGCAGAGGGGGUGGAAUUCCGCGUGUAGCAGUGAAAUGCGUAGAGAGUGCGGAGGAACACCGAUGGCGAAGGCAGCCCCUGGGCCAACACUGACGCUCAGGCACGAAAGCGUGGGGAGCAAACAG